AAGAAUCCUCCUGAGCAAAAGAAAACAUCAAAAGACAAGAAGGCAAUGAGAAGGGCUGAGAAGGAGCGGCUCAAGGAAGGGGAGGCUGCUGAUGAGGAGCAGAAGAAGCUGAAAAAAGAGGCUGUGAAGAAAAAGGGCUCUUCAGUUAGUUCCAAGGAUGUGACUUCCAAAGUUGCAUCAACAAAGAAGACCACCAGUGUAUCUGAUGAGGAUCGUUCCCCAACUGGUAGCCAGGCUGAUGAGAAUGAAACAGAACCUGCUGAUGAAAGUGAUGAUGAUGUCCAAUGGAAAACGGACCCAUCUGUGGAGGCAGCUCAGCAACGAAUCAAGGAACAACUGAGUGCUGUUACCGCUGGGAUGGUUAUGCUGUCUAUGGAUGAAGAGAAGGC
rnacentral:lncRNA from 1 species